rnacentral:rRNA from 1 species
AUUGAACGCUGGCGGCAGGCCUAACACAUGCAAGUCGAACGAGUGGCGGACGGGUGAGUAAUGUCUGGGAAACUGCCUGAUGGAGGGGGAUAACUACUGGAAACGGUAGCUAAUACCGCAUACCAUCAGAUGUGCCCAGAGGGGAUUAGCUAGUUGGGGGGGUAACGGCGCACCAAGGCGACGAUCCCUAUCUGGUCUGAUAGGAUGACCAGCCACACGGGAAAUGAGACACGGUCCAGACUCAUACGUGAGGCAGCAGUGGGGAAGAUUGCACAAUGGGAGCAAGCCUGAUGCAGCCAUGCCGAGUGUAUGAAGAAGGCCUUCGGGUUGUAAAGGACUUUCAGCGGGGAGGCGUUACCCGCAGAAGAAGCACCGGCUAACUCCGUGCCAGCAGCCGCGGUAAUAC